GAUGAACGCUGGCGGCGUGCCUAAUACAUGCAAGUCGAGCGAACAGACGAGGAGCUUGCUCCUCUGACGUUAGCGGCGGACGGGUGAGUAACACGUGGAUAACCUACCUAUAAGACUGGGAUAACUUCGGGAAACCGGAGCUAAUACCGGAUAAUAUAUUGAACCGCAUGGUUCAAUAGUGAAAGACGGUUUUGCUGUCACUUAUAGAUGGACCCGCGCCGCAUUAGCUAGUUGGUAAGGUAACGGCUUACCAAGGCGACGAUGCGUAGCAGACCUGAGAGGGUGAUCGGCCACACUGGAACUAAGCCACGUCCCAGACUCCUACGGGAGGCAGCAGUAGGGAAUCUGCCGCAAGGGGGGAAAGCCUGACGGAGCAACGCCGCGGGAGUGAUGAAGGUCUUCGGAUCGUAAAUCUCUGUUAUUAGGGAAGAACAAAUGUGUAAGUAACCAUGCACGAUUGGACGUUACCUAAGCAGAAAGCCCCGGCUAACUACGU
rnacentral:rRNA from 1 species